AACGAACGCUGGCGGCAUGCCUAACACAUGCCAGUCGAACGAGACCUUCGGGUCUAGUGGCGCACGGGUGCGUAACGCGUGGGAACCUGCCCUUAGGUUCGGAAUAACUCCCCGAAAGGGGUGCUAAUACCGGAUAAUGUCUUCGGACCAAAGAUUUAUCGCCUUUUGAUGGGCCCGCGUUGGAUUAGCUAGUUGGUAGGGUAAAAGCCUACCAAGGCGACGAUCCAUAGCUGGUCUGAGAGGAUGAUCAGCCACACUGGGACUGAGACACGGCCCAGACUCCUACGGGAGGCAGCAGUGGGGAAUAUUGGACAAUGGGCGAAAGCCUGAUCCAGCAAUGCCGCGUGAGUGAUGAAGGCCUUAGGGUUGUAAAGCUCUUUUACCCGGGAUGAUAAUGACAGUACCGGGAGAAUAAGCUCCGGCUAACUCCGUG
rnacentral:rRNA from 1 species